rnacentral:rRNA from 1 species
CCUACGGGGCCGCACCAGUGGGGAAUAUUGCACAAUGGGCGCAAGCCUGAUGCAGCCAUGCCGCGUGUGUGAAGAAGGCCUUCGGGUUGUAAAGCACUUUCAGCGGGGAGGAAGGCGGUGAGGUUAAUAACCUCAUCGAUUGACGUUGCCCGCAGAAGAAGCACCGGCUAACUCCGUGCCAGCAGCCGCGGUAAUACGGAGGGUGCAAGCGUUAAUCGGAAUUACUGGGCGUAAAGCGCACGCAGGCGGUCUGUCAAGUCGGAUGCGAAAUCCCCGGGCUCAACCUGGGAACUGCAUUCGAAACUGGCAGGCUAGAGUCUUGUAGAGGGGGGUAGAAUUCCAGGUGUAGCGGUGAAAUGCGUAGAGAUCUGGAGGAAUACCGGUGGCGAAGGCGGCCCCCUGGACAAAGACUGACGCUCAGGUGCGAAAGCGUGGGGAGCAAACAGGAUUAGAUACCCGUGUAGUC